rnacentral:misc_RNA from 1 species
UACAGAGGCCCCAAGCGUUAGGCGGAAUCACUGGGCUUAAAGCGUGUGCAGGCGGCCCAUCAAGUGCUUUGUGAAAGCCCACGGCUCAACCGUGGAACUGCUUGGCAUACUGAUGGGCUUGAAUCAUCCAGGGGCGAGCGGAACUCACGGUGGAGCGGUGAAGUGCAUAGAUAUCGUGAGGAACGCCAGAGGCGAAAGCGGCUCGCUGGGGAUGUAUUGACGCUCAGACACGAAAGCUAGGGUAGCGAACGGG